rnacentral:rRNA from 1 species
GACGAACGCUGGCGGCGUGCUUAACACAUGCAAGUCGAACGGUAAGGCCCUUUCGGGGGUACACGAGUGGCGAACGGGUGAGUAACACGUGGGUGAUCUGCCCUGCACUUUGGGAUAAGCCUGGGAAACUGGGUCUAAUACCGGAUAGGACUACGCGAUGCAUGUCGUGUGGUGGAAAGCUUUUGCGGUGUGGGAUGGGCCCGCGGCCUAUCAGCUUGUUGGUGGGGUGAUGGCCUACCAAGGCGACGACGGGUAGCCGGCCUGAGAGGGUGUCCGGCCACACUGGGACUGAGAUACGGCCCAGACUCCUACGGGAGGCAGCAGUGGGGAAUAUUGCACAAUGGGCGCAAGCCUGAUGCAGCGACGCCGCGUGGGGGAUGACGGCCUUCGGGUUGUAAACCCCUUUCAGCACAGACGAAGCGUAAGUGACGGUAUGGGCAGAAGAAGCACCGGCCAACUACGU